rnacentral:rRNA from 1 species
UACGUAGGUGGCAAGCGUUGGCCGGGAUUAUUGGGGGUAAAGCGCGCGCAGGCGGUUUCUUAAGGCUGAUGUGAAAGCCCACGGCUUAACCGUGGAAGGUCAUUGGAAACUGGGAGACUUGAGUGCAGAAGAGAAGAGCGGAAUUCCACGUGUAGCGGUGAAAUGCGUAGAGAUGUGGAGGAACACCAGUGGCGAAGGCGGCUCUUUGGUCUGUAACUGACGCUGAGGCGCGAAAGCGUGGGGAUCAAACAGG